GUUUCCAUAGUGCAGUGGUUAUCAUGUUUGCCUAACACGCGAGAGGUCCCUGGUUCGAAAACGGGUGGAAACA